rnacentral:rRNA from 1 species
CGGCGGACGGGUGAGUAACGCGUGGGUAACCUGCCUCAUACAGGGGGAUAACAGUUGGAAACGGCUGCUAAUACCGCAUAAGCGCACAGUACCGCAUGGUACGGUGUGAAAAACUCCGGUGGUAUGAGAUGGACCCGCGUCUGAUUAGGUAGUUGGUGGGGUAACGGCCUACCAAGCCGACGAUCAGUAGCCGACCUGAGAGGGUGACCGGCUACAUUGGGACUGAGACACGGCCCAA